CUCACAAUCCUCUUCCAGCGUUGCCGCAGGUCCAGCAAGCGAUGCUGAUAAGGCUGUUUCUGGUGGUGAUGAUGACCACAACUCUUCCUCUUCAUGCUCAUCUACGGCCUGAUCCAGCACUCUUCGCAGGGCACGCUCCAGGAAGAAAACAAAUGGUAUGAUGUCGCUGAUGGUGCCUUUGGUGUGACUGACUAGGUUUGUCA